AUGGCGCAUCAUGCAGACGCAGAACUUGGACUCCGCUUCACAAGAGGGCGCUGCAAAACCGGUUGCGCGGGAUCCACUCCGGGCAACGCCGCUCUAGGCCGCAAGCCCUGCUUCAGCUGCAUUUCCGCCGUCGCUGUGCGUGUGGAGGCGGUUCUUGCCUCUUUGUCCACGUUUCGUCGUGGAUCCCGCGUUGUCUGCACGUAUCCGGGGACAUCCGCGGACACCGGCAUCUUCCCGCACUGUCGGCUUUGUCUCCGCCGCUCUCCCGCGCCGUCUGGUCGUGGGGCACCCCGGGUGGGUCUGUGUGCACAGAGGUUCCACGGGAGGCACCAUCUUCAUGCCAGCUGGGCGCUAGGCCCUGGGGCCUCAGAUGUGUUUGGGGGAGGCAGAAACCCUCCACCAGUGCCCUUGCUUAAUAUACUCCGAAGAUGCAACAUGGCACCCCAGGAGGUGUGUCCAGCUCCCAGAUAAAGGAGGUGAGAUCUUACCUGCAACACCUGAAUGAAUGUUUGUGGCAACAUCACCGAACAGCUCCACUUUGAAACCUGAUUGAUAUCCCAGAGGCUUGUGGUAGGAAAAACGGAACACUGUUUGUGUCCCUACCAAAGGACAGAAGGCUGGCUGCUGCUUAGGUAUAGACAAGGUCAUUAUCAGUUUGAACAGUGGCCGAGAACUAUUGAAGAUGAACAGGGAAGGGUCUAUGGCAGAGUCGGCUUCAAGUUUCGUAAGACUACCCACUGAACUACAUUUCCCAGCUUCCUUUGCAGUUAGGAAUGGCCACGUGACUGAGUUCUGGCCAAUGCAAUGUGUGUCACUUCCCGACCUUAUCUUGGAUUUCCCAGUCUCCAGAACUAUGAGAAAUAAAUUUCUGUUGUUUGAGUCA